GAUCCUGGCUCAGGAUGAACGCUAGCGGCAGGCUUAACACAUGCAAGUCGAGGGGCAGCGCGGGGCGGCAACGUCCUGGCGGCGACCGGCGGAAGGGUGCGUAACGCGUGAGCGAUAUGCCCGUUGCCCGGGGACAACCGGUGGAAACGCCGACUAAUCCUUGAUGGGACGGAGGCCCUCAUGGGUCUCUGUUGAAAGUUACGGCGGCGACGGAUUGGCUCGCGUCCGAUUAGCUUGUUGGCGGGGUAACGGCCC
rnacentral:rRNA from 1 species